CUCCCAGUGGCCCAGUUGGUUUAGCGCGUUCGGCUGUAAUUGUAAAAGGUUGUGGAUACCGAAAGGUCACCUGUUCGACUCAGGUCUGGGAGA
rnacentral:tRNA from 1 species